UGGACAGAAAGCAGGAACGACUGUCAGGAAAGAGGAGCUGAUCUGGUGAUCAUAAACAGCAAAGAGGAACAGGAAUUUGUCAGUAAAUUGAGUUCAUUGUUCUGGAUCGGUCUUGAAAGGACAGGACAUGGAUGGAAAUGGGUGGACGGAUCUCCACUGACAGAAACGUUCUGGAAAGAUGGAGACCAGAACAGAUACAACAUAGUGUUCAACAAUUAUCAAGGGAAAUGGAAAACAGCACACUCCAGUGGUACCGCUAACUGGAUCUGUGAGAAAAAUUCUUCGGUCUCUCAGUGACAUAAUUGUCUUUGCAGUGAUUAAAUUGACAAAUUUGACACCAAAAAAAUAUUAAGAAAAGUUUUCUUUGUUGUAAAUUUCAGAUGUUGUGUGUCACUCAUAAUCUACAUAUAUCGUCCCUCUGUAGUCUAAUAUAUAGACAGAGUAGUGAAGGUGGAAGUCAUCCAUACAACAACAACAACAUAUAAACUUUGUUCCACUCAUUUAUUGUAAAACAAGGAAAACUGCAGCCUCUCUUUACUUUGUUUACUUGCUUGAUUUAUGAUGUUUUUCUUGCUAAAUCUACAGUCAGUAUCAUCUUUAAUUUAUCUGGCACACAUAAAGGGAGCAGCUGAAGAUUUUAACAAGAAGAAAAAUCCUCAAUCUUAGUUGUUUUAAUCUGGAUUGUGUGAAUAACUGCAGACUGAUCAAUGGAGGAGAACUUUCCUCUUUCUGAUAAAUGUAAACAGAAAUGUGUUACGUUUCUUUUGCAAACAGCAGGAUGUACUGGAGAAUGACGUUAGUGGAUGCUUCUAUGGGCCACAACUAAUGUCUACUUUUUACAUGUAGUACAAUUGUAAGGAUUGUGUUUUUAUACUGAGAUGGAAAAAGUAAAGAUACUGAGCUCUG